rnacentral:rRNA from 1 species
CUGAAACCGUGCGCUUACAAGCGGUCGGAGCCCUUUAGUGGGGUGACGGCGUGCCUUUUGCAUAAUGAGCCUACGAGUUGUCGUUGUUGGCAAGGUUAACCCGUUCAGCGGGGUAGCCGGAGCGAAAGCGAGUCUUAACAGGGCGUGUAGUCAGCAGUGGCAGACGCGAAACUUGGUGAUCUACCCAUGGGCAGGGUGAAGCUCCGUUAAACCGGAGUGGAGGCCCGAACCAGUAAACGUUGAAAAGUUUUUGGAUGACCUGUGGGUAGGGGUGAAAGGCCAAUCAAACUGGGAAAUAGCUCGUACUCCCCGAAAUGCAUUUAGGUGCAGCGUCGUGGUAGAGUGUUAUAGAGGUAGAGCUACUGAUAGGGCUAGGGGGCUUCACCGCCUACCAAACCCUGACAAACUCCGAAUGCUAUAACAUAUACACGGCAGUGAGGGCAUGGGUGCUAAGGUCCAUGUCCGAGAGGGAAAGAACCCAGAUCAUCAGCUAAGGCCCCCAAAUGUAUGUUAAGUUGAUCAAACGUUGUGCGAUUGCAUAGACAGCUAGGAUGUUGGCUUGGAAGCAGCCAUUCAUUUAAAGA